UCGAAUAAACAUUUGAUAGGCUGUUGCUGGCCCUUCUAGGGUAGUGUGCACGCUUGUCAUUUAUUUUUCCACCUGUGCACUCUUUUUGUAGACCUAGAGAAAGUAAAUUGUCUUGAGCAAUCAGGAUAGGGUUUGGGGAUUGCUGUUCCAGCUUUCCCUUGUCUCUCUAGGUUCUAUGUUACUCACAUACUCCUACGAAUGUAAUAGAAUGUUGAUCUGGGUCUUUGAUGCCCAUAAAGUUAUAUA
rnacentral:misc_RNA from 1 species